rnacentral:tRNA from 2 species
GGUCCUAUAGUUUAAUGGAUAAAACGUAAGAUUCCGGUUCUUAUGAUGGAGGUUCGAUUCCUCCUAGGAUCA